UGCAGCAAGUGGUUUCUGGAUGGAAGGUUGACAACAAAACACUUGUUUUUUCCAGCAGCCGUUGUGCAGCACAUACAGCAGUAAACCCAGUACUGGGUUAAAAACAUUAACCCAGUGCCUAAAAAUGUCUUAGGUUGUUUUUAGAAGCAGUUGAGACCCACAUGGACAUACAAAAACAAGCAAAAUCUGAAUUUUGCAUAAUAGGUCCCCUUUAAUUACAUUACAUUUUCCACACAACUUCAAUUGUUGGCCAGUUUGCUUUGAUUUCUUUGGUUUCUGUCAAAGUCUGUUGUCGGUGGCUCAAUUAGAAAUAGUUAAACUGAGAAAAACAUUGAAGUUUAACACUUUUUUCAAACUGUAUAAAUAAAUCAUGAUGAAAAAUUUUGCAGAAAUGUCUGAAAAUGUCUUAAAGCUAUGAAAAAAAAUUUCAAGCAGUGUUAUUUCCCACAUUAAUGUAGGUUGGAUAUGGAUAUUUAUAAAUGCUGGGGGGAAUGUGUGUACCUGACCUUUAAUAAACACUUUCUGGAUGAA